rnacentral:rRNA from 1 species
UACGGAGGGGACUAGCGUUGUUCGGAAUUACUGGGCGUAAAGCGCACGUAGGCGGAUUUGUAAGUCAGGGGUGAAAUCCCGGGGCUCAACCUCGGAACUGCCUUUGAUGCUGCAAAUCUCGAGUCCGGAAGAGGUGAGUGGGAAUUCCUAGUGUAGAGGUGAAAAUUCGUAGAUAUUAGGAAGAACACCAGUGGCGAAGGCGGCUCACUGGUCCGGUACUGGACGCUGAGGUGCGAAAGCGUGGGGAGCAAACAGGG